rnacentral:rRNA from 1 species
UACGGGGGGGGCAAGCGUUGUUCGGAAUUACUGGGCGUAAAGGGUUCGUAGGUGGCCCGCUAAGUCACACGUGAAAUCCCUCAGCUUAACUGGGGAACUGCGUGUGAGACUGGCAGGCUUGAGUGCAGGAGAGGAACGCGGAAUUCCAGGUGUAGCGGUGAAAUGCGUAGAUAUCUGGAGGAACACCGGUGGCGAAGGCGGCGUUCUGGACGAUGACUGACGCUGAGACGCGAAAGCGUGGGGAGCAAACAGG